rnacentral:rRNA from 1 species
AUGAACGCUGGCGGCGUGCCUAAUACAUGCAAGUCGAGCGAACAGACGAGGAGCUUGCUCCUCUGACGUUAGCGGCGGACGGGUGAGUAACACGUGGAUAACCUACCUAUAAGACUGGGAUAACUUCGGGAAGCCGGAGCUAAUACCGGAUAAUAUAUUGAACCGCAUGGUUCAAUAGUGAAAGACGGUUUUGCUGUCACUUAUAGAUGGAUCCGCGCCGCAUUAGCUAGUUGGUAAGGUAACGGCUUACCAAGGCAACGAUGCGUAGCCGACCUGAGAGGGUGAUCGGCCACACUGGAACUGAGACACGGUCCAGACUCCUACGGGAGGCAGCAGUAGGGAAUCUUCCGCAAUGGGCGAAAGCCUGACGGAGCAACGCCGCGUGAGUGAUGAAGGUCUUCGGAUCGUAAAACUCUGUUAUUAGGGAAGAACAAAUGUGUAAGUAACUAUGCACGUCUUGACGGUACCUAAUCAGAAAGCCACGGCUAACUACGUG